GGUAAUAAAUUACAGGUUAUUACUUAUUUCCCACCGCUAUUUGAUUGUAUUAGCUCAGUUUAUCUCUGAAAUCGACUUAUUAUUGCUUUUAUUGUGAGCCCAAUUCAAUACUCCUUGGAAAUUAGAUUCAUUUUUGAAAACAUCAUCAAAACAUUUGCCGAAUCAUCAAAAAAAUUGCUUAAAAAAUGCUGAAUCUGAAAAUUGUUCUCUUCGCUGUUCUGGCUGUGACAGUGGUUCUGACGCAGUUGGCAUUUGCAGGAGACAUGAGUAUGAGAAGAUACUAUCUGGACAACUGGAUACCGGAAAAAAGAGCAGUUUCUCCUUGGGCGAGAUACAGAGGGAUAAUUGACAAACAACUGAAGGGCAAAAUUGAACACGGAUUGAUGUGAACUGAACAAAACUAACAGCUCUCUCCUGCAUCCAAUUGAAAAAUUUUGCCCAUCAAAGUACCGAUAUUUUCUGACAUUUUAAU